rnacentral:rRNA from 1 species
ACGAACGCUGGCGGCGCGCCUAACACAUGCAAGUCGAACGGAGUUAUUUUCUUCACUCCGAGCUUUUUGCCGGUUAGCCGGAGCGGCAAUCGGUUUUGCCCAGCAUAAAAAGCAAAACCGAUUUAGGCUCAUAAAGUAAGACUAACACAGAGGGCAGAGAGUUGGGAGUGAAGAAAAUAACUUAGUGGCGAACGGGUGAGUAACGCGUGAGUAACCUGCCCUGGAGUGGGGGACAACAGUUGGAAACGACUGCUAAUACCGCAUAAGCCCACGAUCCGGCAUCGGAUUGAGGGAAAAGGAUUUAUUCGCUUCAGGAUGGACUCGCGUCCAAUUAGCUGGUUGGUGAGGUAACGGCCCACCAAGGCGACGAUUGGUAGCCGGACUGAGAGGUUGAACGGCCACAUUGGGACUGAGACACGGCCCAGACUCCUACGGGAGGCAGCAGUGGGGGAUAUUGCACAAUGGGGGAAACCCUGAUGCAGCGACGCCGCGUGGAGGAAGAAGGUUUUCGGAUUGUAAACUCCUGUCGUUAGGGACGAUAAUGACGGUACCUAACAAGAAAGCACCGGCUAACUACGUGCCAGCAGCCGCGGUAAAACGUAGGGUGCAAGCGUUGUCCGGAAUUACUGGGUGUAAAGGGAGCGCAGGCGGACCGGCAAGUUGGAAGUGAAAACUAUGGGCUCAACCCAUAAAUUGCUUUCAAAACUGCUGGCCUUGAGUAGUGCAGAGGUAGGUGGAAUUCCCGGUGUAGCGGUGGAAUGCGUAGAUAUCGGGAGGAACACCAGUGGCGAAGGCGACCUACUGGGCACCAACUGACGCUGAGGCUCGAAAGCAUGGGUAGCAAACAGGAUUAGAUACCCUGGUAGUCCAUGCCGUAAACGAUGAUUACUAGGUGUUGGAGGAUUGACCCCUUCAGUGCCGCAGUUAACACAAUAAGUAAUCCACCUGGGGAGUACGACCGCAAGGUUGAAACUCAAAGGAAUUGACGGGGGCCCGCACAAGCAGUGGAGUAUGUGGUUUAAUUCGAAGCAACGCGAAGAACCUUACCAGGUCUUGACAUCCGAUGCAUAGUGCAGAGAUGCAUGAAGUCCUUCGGGACAUCGAGACAGGUGGUGCAUGGUUGUCGUCAGCUCGUGUCGUGAGAUGUUGGGUUAAGUCCCGCAACGAGCGCAACCCUUAUUGCCAGUUACUACGCAAGAGGACUCUGGCGAGACUGCCGUUGACAAAACGGAGGAAGGUGGGGAUGACGUCAAAUCAUCAUGCCCUUUAUGACCUGGGCUACACACGUACUACAAUGGACAUUAACAGAGGGAAGCAAGACCGCGAGGUGGAGCAAACCCCUAAAAGCCGUCCCAGUUCGGAUUGCAGGCUGCAACCCGCCUGUAUGAAGUUGGAAUCGCUAGUAAUCGCGGAUCAGCAUGCCGCGGUGAAUACGUUCCCGGGCCUUGUACACACCGCCCGUCACACCAUGAGAGUCGGGAAUACCCGAAGCCUGUGAGCCAACAUAUUUAUAUGAGGCAGCAGUCGAAGGUAGAAUCGAUGAUUGGGGUG